rnacentral:lncRNA from 1 species
UGAGGAUGGUCAGUUUGAAUCUAAAAAUGAGAGGAGGGUAAAGCAUACUUGCUACAAUCCAAAGUGUGACUGUAGGGAUGUGAAGUUUAAACUAGGAAUGAAGUUUGAGGGUCCUAAAGAAUUUAAAGAUGCUGUUGAGAGAUAUGCUAUGAUAAAUGGAUACAAUAUUAGAUGAAAAAGAAGUGGUGAGAAAAAGAUGGAGCUCAAAUGUGUGGACAAGUAUCUUUGAAAAAUAUAUGCAAGCUG